AGUGAACGCUGGCGGUAGGCCUAACACAUGCAAGUCGAACGGCAGCACAGUAUGAGCUUGCUCUUACGGGUGUCGAGUGGCGGACGGGUGAGGAAUACAUCGGAUUCUUCUUUUUCGUGGGGGAUAACGUAGGUAAACUUACGCUAAUACCGCAUACGACCUACGGGUGAAAGCAGUGGAUCUUCGGACCUUUCGCGAUUGAAUGAGCCGAUGUCGGAUUAGCUAGUUGGCGGGGUAAAGGCCGACCAAGGCGACGAUCCGUAGCUGGUCUGAGAGGAUGAUCAGCCACACUGGAAGUGAGACACGGUCCAGACUACUACGGGAGGCAGCAGUGGGGAAUAUUGGACAAUGGGCGCAAGCCUGAUCCAGCCAUACCGCGUGGGUGAAGAAGGACUUAGGGUUGUAAAGCCCUUUUGUUGGGAAAGAAAAGCAGCAGGUUAAUACCCCGCUGUUCUGACGGUACCCAAAGAAUAAGCACCGGCUAACUUCGUG
rnacentral:rRNA from 1 species